rfam:Salmo salar isolate Sally breed double haploid chromosome ssa09, whole genome shotgun sequence.
AAACAGGCUCUUUUAAGAGUCACCCAUGUUGAAAACAUGUAGAAC